rnacentral:rRNA from 1 species
UCCGUAGGCGGGUUUAUAAGUCAGUGGUGAAAGUUUGCGGCUCAACCGUAAAAUUGCCAUUGAUACUGUAGAUCUUGAAUUAGUGUGAAGUGGUUAGAAUGUGUAGUGUAGCGGUGAAAUGCAUAGAUAUUACACGGAAUACCAAUUGCGAAGGCAGAUCACUAACACUAUAUUGACGCUGAGGGACGAAAGCGUGGGGAGCGAACAGGAUUAGAUACCCUGGUAGUCC